rnacentral:rRNA from 1 species
AGCGAACGCUGGCGGCAGGCCUAACACAUGCAAGUCGAACGGACCCUUCGGGGUUAGUGGCGGACGGGUGAGUAACACGUGGGAACGUGCCUUUAGGUUCGGAAUAGCUCCUGGAAACGGGUGGUAAUGCCGAAUGUGCCCUUCGGGGGAAAGAUUUAUCGCCUUUAGAGCGGCCCGCGUCUGAUUAGCUAGUUGGUGGUGUAACGGACCACCAAGGCGACGAUCAGUAGCUGGUCUGAGAGGAUGAUCAGCCACAUUGGGACUGAGACACGGCCCAAACUCCUACGGGAGGCAGCAGUGGGGAAUCUUGCGCAAUGGGCGAAAGCCUGACGCAGCCAUGCCGCGUGAAUGAUGAAGGUCUUAGGAUUGUAAAAUUCUUUCACCGGGGACGAUAAUGACGGUACCCGGAGAAGAAGCCCCGGCUAACUUCGUGCCAGCCGCCGCUGAAGAC